UACGUAGGGGGCUAGCGUUGUCCGGAAUCAUUGGGCGUAAAGAGCGUGUAGGCGGCCCGGUAAGUCCGCUGUGAAAGUCGGGGGCUCAACCCUCGAAUGCCGGAGGAUACUGUCGGGCUAGAGUGCGGAAGAGGCGAGUGGAAUUCCUGGUGUAGCGGUGAAAUGCGCAGAUAUCAGGAGGAACACCGAUUGCGAAGGCAGCUCGCUGGGACGUAACUGACGCUGAGACGCGAAAGCGUGGGGAGCAAACAGG
rnacentral:rRNA from 1 species